GAUCCAAGGGUGGCCAUGAAAAGCUCAUUCUGAAAGACUUGGGGUGCAGACGGGGAACAGAAAGGGCAGCCAAAGGUAGGGAUCAGAAGCAGAGAUUGAAAAACAUGGCUGAGGCUGAUGUCUUCCUCCUUUUUGAAGCCCUUGCUCCCCUGGCAUCUGGCAUGACACUCACUCCUGGUUUCCUUCUGCCCUCUCUUCAAACUCCAUCCUCACACCCAAGGGAAGAAACUGAAGCACAGAAAGCAGAGGUGAAGUCACUAGCCUCAGUUUCCUGUAAUUGAGGGGACCAAUAAAAAUAUCGCCACCUGGAGAGAAGUGCUGAACAAGGAUGAUCUAUGUUGGCAGUCACCCCACCAGUGUCAGAGGCCAAAGAGCACCCUAUCUCCUCUCAAGCCUAACCUCCCCCCACCCACGUGUAUUAAACACUGUUCACCCAGAGCCCAUUGGGGGAUCUUGUUCUCUGGGGUGGCCUGCUUUCACUUUUCCAGCGUGUACUAUCACUUUAAUAAGUUUACUGGGCUUUGCUAAAUCUUCCUGUCAUGUUUUUAAAUUCCUUCUUGUUCCAUGACAAGGACCUGGGUGUGUUGAGGCCUCCCUUGGCCUCCCCAGGCACUGCCUGGAAUCAGUGAUCACCCCCAAGUUCACAGUUCACAUUAGGGUUCAUCCUGGUGUUGUUCGUUCUAUGGGUUUGGACAAAUGUAUCAUGACAAAUGUCCACCAUUACAGUAUUGUACUGAGUACUUUUACUGCCCUAAAAAUCCUCUGUGCUCUACCUGCUUGUCCCACCCCCAUCCCCAGCUCCUGGCCACCACUGAUCCUUUUGCAAUCUCCAUAGUUUUCCCUUUUCCAGAAGGUCACAAAGUUGGAAUCAUGCAGUUUGUGGCCUUUUUGGACUGGCUUAUUUCACUUAGUAACAUGCAUUUAACCUUCCUUGGUUAAACAUGGCCUGACAGCUCGUUUCUUUUUCAUGAUGAAUGAUAUCCCAUUGUCUGAAUGCACACGUUUUGUUUAUCCAUUUAUCUGCUGAAGGACAUCCUGGUUGUUGUGGCAGUUAUGAGUAAAGCUGUUAUAAACAUCCGUGUGUGGGUUUUUAUGUGGACA